ACGGGUGGCGGCACAAGCGGUGGAGCAUGUGGUUUAAUUCGAUGCAACGCGAAGAACCUUACCGGGGUUUGACAUGAUAGCGAAGUCUGCAGAGAUGUAGACGCCUUUCGGGGCGCUAUGACAGGUGCUGCAUGGCUGUCGUCAGCUCGUGUCGUGAGAUGUUGGGUUAAGUCCCGCAACGAGCGCAACCCUUGCCUCUAGUUACCAGCGAGUAAUGUCGGGGACUCUAGAGGGACUGCCGGUGAUAAACUGGAGGAAGGUGGGGAUGACGUCAAGUCCUCAUGGCCCUUACAUCCCGGGCUACACACGUGCUACAAUGGCCGGUACAACGAGUCGCAAUACUGCGAAGUGGAGCUAAUCUCUAAAAACCGGUCUCAGUUCGGAUUGCAGUCUGCAACUCGACUGCAUGAAGUCGGAAUCGCUAGUAAUCGCGGAUCAGCAUGCCGCGGUGAAUACGU
rnacentral:rRNA from 1 species